rnacentral:rRNA from 1 species
UACGAAGGGGGCUAGCGUUGUUCGGAAUUACUGGGCGUAAAGCGCACGUAGGCGGACUUUUAAGUCAGGGGUGAAAUCCCGGGGCUCAACCCCGGAACUGCCUUUGAUACUGGAAGUCUUGAGUGUGGUAGAGGUGAGUGGAAUUGCGAGUGUAGAGGUGAAAUUCGUAGAUAUUCGCAGGAACACCAGUGGCGAAGGCGGCUCACUGGACCACAACUGACGCUGAGGUGCGAAAGCGUGGGGAGCAAACAGG